ensembl:lncRNA
ACCCUUGGAGGACAAGGGGCUUAGCAGCACCUGCUCUGGCGGGGCCACUCAGGUCUGGGUCCCUAAUCCUUAGUUUGCCCAUCUAUCAAAUGGGGCAAUCGUGGCACCCACUUCUCAGAUGUGUAGAUAAUUCAGGGAGAGGAUAGAGAGGGUUUAGAGCAAAGUGGGUACCCAACAGGUUGGGGUGAAUUUUGGACCAAGUGCUUAUCCAGCACCCGAGGAGCUCUGUGAUUUGAGCAAGGCCCUUCAAGUCUCUGGAACUUCAGAUGUAAGGCAAGGAUGAGAAACUUCUUUACAGGGUCUAUGAAAAGCUAAAUAAAGAACUUAGGGCCAGGGACACAGAGUAAAGACAGACAGGCUUAAAUCCAUACUCACUGAGUUCUCAGCACAGCUGGGUUCUUACUCCUAUUUACGAUAAGAAGAAUCACAAGGAUGAUGAUGAUGGUGAGAGCUUUUUUUUUCUUUUUUGGAUCACUUACUGUCUACCAGACUUGACUGUGUUCUAAAUGUUUUCCAUGGGUCAUUUCAGAUAAUCAUCCGGACCUCCCUCUAAGUCGAAUACACUUAUUAUUUUCAUUUUACAGAAGAAGAAACUGAGCCACAGAGAAGUUAAGUCAUUGGUACAUCACCAGCUAGAAGGUGGCAGGGCCUCUCCUCUCUGGAGCAGCUGGUUCUGAAGGGGAGGAAACCAGGAUGGGAAAUCGAGGCACGGAGUAGUCUCUUGGGCUGCUCAAGCUCUUUCACUCCACAGGGAAUGGCAGAGUCCAGAGCUGAUCCCCGAUUUCUUGGUCACCGGAGCCUGUGAGCCCAGCCCGCCCGUGAGGAUGCCAGGUGCGUUGUCCUCCACAGGGGUCUGGGGGGGCCACAGGAUCCCAGGGACAGGAUGGUUUGGGGCUAAACAGAUCAAGGCAGGUUUGGUGGUGUCUCCGAGCGUGUGAACACAGUGUGCCAGCCUGUGCAUGUGUCACCGUGUGGCCAGCGGUGUGCCUGUUUGCCCAUGUGUGAGGAUGUGAACACAAGCAUCUGUGUGUGUGUCUGUUCUUAUGGUUAUGAAACCACAACGUGGCUGCUUGUAUGGCUGUGUCCUUGACAGUGUUUCUACUUCUCUGUGAACCCACAUAAAUAUGUUUGUGUGUGUGUGUGUGUACAAAUGGAUGCAGUUUGUGUGCCUUCACAUGCCUGAGAUUGUGUAGGAGUGCUGACCUUAAGCCCGGUGACCUUAAGCCCAGGCUGGACCCAGUUCCUAGGAAGCAGCGCAGAAAAUCAUUGACACCCACCCUCUCACCCUAGUUCAGAAGCUGUAAUAUGGCUUUGAAUGUAUUCAAGUGUAGUGUGUGCGCAUUGGUUUAUUUCUGUACAGAGAGUGUGUAUCUUUGUGACCAUUUGUAAGUGUGCUUAAAGCUGUGUGGCCAGCUGGGUCUUUGAUUGUGUCUCCGUAUGGGCACCACCUUAGUGAAUAUGUAUGUGUUGUGUGUGUAUACAGAUGUGACUGUCCUGAUAUUUUGUGACUGGUGUAAGAAGUGCUGGUGUGUGUGUGUGUCUUUGGGCUUCUCCCUGGGUGUGUAAUUCUGAGUUUGUAUUUAUGUACAUGCAUGUAUUUGUCUUGUUUUGUGCCUGUUUAUCUGGGUCUUUGGGU